CAGAGACGGGGAUCCAGCCGCUCCCGCUGGGUUCAGACGGGGUCACACCCAUCCUGAAAUACAGGCCGCGGUCCUCGCCUACCGCCCACACCUGACGGGUGAACACAGAGGACAACAAUGAAGAGCAAAGUAAAUGUGAAGUUCGGUGAACACUGACCAGUCGGGCUGUCCAAGGUGAGGCCAGUACGGACCAGCAGGUUCCCGUCCCACAGCAAAGCCCACAGCAGGUCUCCGGGGCCGGCUGACAGCUGAGCCACCUCUUUGGGCACUUCUACUUCCUCCCAGCAGGUACCCUCCGGGACCCGAGGGUGGAUCCCCUCCCUGAACCACACCUACAGGGUAAGGAUACCUUCCAGACUGGUCGCUCAUCUCCCAACCCCCACAGCUGAUGUCACAGAGCGGCAGCGGGGGCUUCCUGGGAUUAUCCAGCGGGACCUGAAGAGAGACAGUGACUUCACAUGAACCCUCCGACCUUUA